GCUCCUUUCCUGGAGCCGCACCCCCGCCCGGCCCCCGCCGGCAACACGUCACCGCCUGCGCCCGGAGCGCGCCCGCUGGCGGCGGGAGCGCGCACGCCGAGGGGCGCGUUGAGCGCUGGGGGGCGGAGCCUGAUGCGGGAUGAUUGGCGUCCGAGCGCUGGGCUGUUCCGUGGACCCGCGCGGCCACGCCAGUGUGCUGUGCACGGGAAAUGUGGACGUGGGAGCACGGAGGCACCCAGUACUGUGGCGUGGUGCUCGUCUGGUCGUCAGCGAGCCUCAGCGUACUUAGGACACCGCAGUUUAUCUUUCCUUAGCGCUCCUAACGGUUAUGGAAAAUAGCGCUUGAAAACCUGGUAAGGACUAGGCAUUGUUGCUCAACUCUUGACAUUUACACCUUUGCCGGUAACUCUCCCUGUUUCACAGAUGGGGAAACGGAGGCUCACACUUAUUCAGUCUCUCUUGAGAUCCACCUGAUUCGUGAGAGGUAGAGCCAGGAUUUCAUUCUUGCCCGUCGAUGGCAUAUGUUAGUGCCUAUGUUGGGGGAGGCAGACUGCCCCAGCCCUCCCCAACACACGCAAUGGUUAUGAGAAGAAAUAAAGCGAAGGGUGUUCCUGAGAUUGACCCCAUGACCUACACUUAGUACAAGGCUAAGCUCUCUUAGCUCUCUGGCUUAGCAAUAAACUGCUUUGAAGACACAGAACUUUGCACUUGAGAGCCGGAAGAGACCUUGGGAAUCCCGGGUUCCAUCCUUUCUUCCACCUUGUAUACAGGUGAAUGCACUGUGGCCCAGAGAUAGGAAGUGACCAGCAAUCCAGCCACUUUAAAAGAUUUUUAAAAACAAGAGCCCUAGAAACGUCUACUCCAUUCCAUUUAUCAAGUAAAACAAGCAUAGACAGAACUGGCAGUUCUACAUCUUAACACAGAAUCCUUCUUGGUCCAGCACCCGCCUGGGUCACCUCCUCUUCCUGGAUUCAGCUACUGUUAACGGAAGAAACCAUGAAGCCUCAGAAGGUUAGAGCCAAAGGGACUCUACUGUGUAGCCCCAAUCACCUUCUUUUACAGUUAAGAGCCUGGAACCCAGAGAGGUUGAGUGACUUGGCCAAGACCCCCUGGAGGCAGAGGAGAGCAGAACCAAUGUUUCAGACUCCCACAUGACUUGCGCAUCAGUGUCUUUUUUUUGACAAUCUGUUGCUAUAAGAAAUUACUCGUUUGGAUAAUUUUCACACUAGAAAACCCUGUGACCCAAGGCUAGCAUUGAGAAGCUAAAGCUGGCCACUGACAUACUGUGAUUUUAAGGACAGUCUCCUUCGAAAUUAUCUGCCUUUCAAAAUCUUUGCCAUUGGAGACACUGGUUGGGGUUAUGUUAGUCUUCCUUAAGGAGGGCUCUACUAAAAUGCCAGACUAGGCCGGGCAUGGUGGCUCAUGCCUGUAAUCCCAGCACUUUGGGAGUCCAAGGCUGGUCUCGAACUCCUGACCUCAGAUGAUCCCCCAGCCUCGGCCUUCCAAAGUGUUGGGAUUAUAGGCGUGAGCCACUGCGCCUGGCCUGUUUUUGUUUUUUUUUGAAAUGGAGUCUUGCUCUGUUGCCAGGCUGGAGUGCAGUGGUGCCAUCUUGGCUCACUGCAACCUCUGUCUCCUGGGCUCAAGUGAUUCUCCUGCCUCAGCCUCCCGAGCAGCUAGGACUACAGGCGCGCACCACCACACCCAGCUAAGUUUUGUAUUUUUAGUAGAGACGGGGUUUCACCGUUGGCCAGGAUGGUCUCGAUCUCUUAACCUCCUGAUUAGCCCGCCUCGGCCUCCCAAAGUUCUAGGAUUAUAGGCGUGAGUCACCGCGCUGGGCCUAAUCUUUUAUUUUUAGUAGAGAUGGGGUUUCGCCAUGUUGGCCAGGCUGGUCUCAAACCCCUGACCUCAAGUGAUCUGCCUGCCUCGGCCUCUCAAAGUGCUGGGAUUACCAGCAUGAGCCACUGCGCCCGGCUUGGACGUGACUUUCUUAUAUCAUUCUCCAGCCAUCAUUCUCCAGGUACCCUUCUUCCUGUACCUCCCUGAGAUCUGGGGCAGCAGUUUCAGUAGCGUGUGUGUGUGUGUGUGUGUGUGUGUGUGUGUGUGUGUGUACACCUCUGUAUUUCAUAUACACACUCCAAUUAUAGCUUCCCAUUAUCCACUGAAUGACAUUUAAAGGAUGAAAUUGAAGUGACUUGGACAAAAGUCAUAAAGCUUCUGUGCACAAAAUACAUAUUUGUUGUUGUCUGUAUAGGUGUCUCAUGUGGGCAGAAGGUGCCCGACUUUUCCCUGUGUCAGCCUGCAGCACCUCAAGGAGUGCCUGGCACAUCACGUGGACUC
rnacentral:lncRNA from 10 species